rnacentral:rRNA from 1 species
UGCAGUCGAGCGAACAGACGAGGAGCUUGCUCCUUUGACGUUAGCGGCGGACGGGUGAGUAACACGUGGGUAACCUACCUAUAAGACUGGGAUAACUUCGGGAAACCGGAGCUAAUACCGGAUAAUAUUUCGAACCGCAUGGUUCGAUAGUGAAAGAUGGCUCUGCUAUCACUUAUAGAUGGACCUGCGCCGUAUUAGCUAGUUGGUAAGGUAACGGCUUACCAAGGCAACGAUACGUAGCCGACCUGAGAGGGUGAUCGGCCACACUGGAACUGAGACACGGUCCAGACUCCUACGGGAGGCAGCAGUAGGGAAUCUUCCGCAAUGGGCGAAAGCCUGACGGAGCAACGCCGCGUGAGUGAUGAAGGUCUUCGGAUCGUAAAACUCUGUUAUUAGGGAAGAACAAACGUGUAAGUAACUGUGCACGUCUUGACGGUACCUAAUCAGAAAGCCACGGCUAACUACGUGCCAGCAGCCGCGGUAAUACGUAGGUGGCAAGCGUUAUCCGGAAUUAUUGGGCGUAAAGCGCGCGUAGGCGGUUUUUUAAGUCUGAUGUGAAAGCCCACGGCUCAACCGUGGAGGGUCAUUGGAAACUGGAAAACUUGAGUGCAGAAGAGGAAAGUGGAAUUCCAUGUGUAGCGGUGAAAUGCGCAGAGAUAUGGAGGAACACCAGUGGCGAAGGCGACUUUCUGGUCUGUAA